rnacentral:ncRNA from 16 species
UUAAAUAUCGAUGUGUAAGGUGUCGGACAUACGUGUCCGGUGAAAAGGGAAGCAGGUGUGAAUCCUGCACGAGCUCGUCACCGUAUUUUGCAAGCAGGGGAAUGAUCCACUGGGAAACCGGGAAGGAGACCGAUGCGCUGGAGUCAAAUCCUGAAGCAAUGAGCCGGGAGACCUGCCUUUCGCAGUACAGGAACG